rnacentral:rRNA from 1 species
UACGGGGGGGGCAAGCGUUGUCCGGAUUUAUUGGGCGUAAAGAGCUCGUAGGCGGCUCGUUGCGUCGGCUGUGAAAACCCGCAGCUCAACUGUGGGCUUGCAGCUGAUACGGGCGGGCUGGGAUUCGGUAGGGGAGACUGGAAUUCCUGGUGUAGCGGUGAAAUGCGCAGAUAUCAGGAGGAACACCGGUGGCGAAGGCGGGUCUCUGGGCCGAUAUCGACGCUGAGGAGCGAAAGCGUGGGGAGCGAACAGG